GCCUUGGUAGCUCAGUGGUAGAGCGUCAAAUUCUUACAGUCCCUCUGACCGGGUAAGAAUUUGGAGGCCGCGGGUUCGAUUCCUGUCCGAGGUA